rnacentral:ncRNA from 1 species
AAAACGGCCCUUUUAAGGGCCACUCACUACAUUUAAGAGGAUAAAU